CACGUAGGCACCAAGCGUUGUCCGGAUUUAUUGGGCGUAAAGAGCUCGUAGGCGGUUGAGUAAGUCGGGUGUGAAAACUCUGGGCUUGACCCAGAGCCGCCACCCGAUACUGCUCUGACUUGAGUUCGGUAGGGGAGCAGGGAAUUCCUAGUGUAGCGGUGAAAUGCGCAGAUAUUAGGAGGAACACCGAUGGCGAAGGCAGGUCUCUGGGCCAUUACUGACGCUGAGAAGCGAAAGCAUGGGGAGCGAACAGG
rnacentral:rRNA from 1 species